GCCCUAGGACUGGCAUCCUUAAGGCAGCGGAACCUGUUUGAGGGAGUUCUGCAGUUAUGGGAACCAGGGAUCAAAUAACCCCCCAGGGACCUCAGCCCCGCGGAAAACUCCUUCCCUGGAGCUUGGAGGGAGCCACGCCCCCCAGCUAAAGCCGCAGCUACGCCGUCCUGUUUCCCCCGGAGGGUUUCCGGUUGAGACCUCACUAUGAGGACACAAACACGUUUUUUUUGGAUAAGGGUCGCCGACAGUCCGGUCCCCUGUCCUCGGGAAGUUUGGGGUUGGACGCCUAAGAACAGUGCGCGCCGCGCGCACCGAGUGACCGUCCGGAUCCCGGGGGCGGCUAGCCCACACCUAGUGGAUGCCCGACGCGUUUGCCGGCUGAACCAAUGGAACUCGCCACCGCAAGUGCAGAGGCCGAGUCCCGAGAGGCGGCUCAAGGUUCCGACCGAGGACGAGGAUGAGGCUUUGGGCGCUGCUGUCCUAGGACAGCGAGGACGUAGCCCAUACAAUGGCCCUAGAGUCGGAUCUCACCUCAGGGCUGCUCUGCCAACAGUCAUGAGUGGCCUCUCGCCAAAAGCCAAAUAUGUAAAUAAAAGUAUCUUCCCGAGGCUGUCCUGGAGGCCUCCUUGACUGUAUAGUGACCGUCCUGUGUCCGACGAUAGGCAAUCCUGGGCCAGGUCUGGUUAAGAGGCAGGCAAAGAAAUCGGGGUUUUUACCCUGUGAGUUGGGCAGCCUGGAGCUUAUUAUUAAUUGCAAGUAAAGCAUCUUUUUUUUUUUAAUUGCAAGUAAAGCAUCUUAACAUGUUUUGA